AUAGGAGAUUGAGGGAGAUUCAGACCGGUGUAGCCAAGCUGAAACUCUCACAAAACAUUGAUUUCAAUAAUUGUUUUUUUAGAGAAAAGAUAAAAGCAAUGCCUAGGGCUGGAGCAGUACAGUUGAGUUUGUUGAAGAGAACAGAUUGGCUUUACCAAUGGCUGCUUUUUGUCCAUGCAUGGGAAUAAUAAACUACGCAGGAAGAAUGAAGAAUCAGGUGACACUCACAAGAUGUUUCAGGACUUAAUCAUAAGAUGACAUUCAUCUCCACCAAAGUCAGAUGUUUAAUGUGCAUGAAACCAGCAGAAGCAACAGCAGAGCGAGUGAAAGAGAGACUGUUUUAAGGGUCCUAGCACAUUCGAUUUAGACAUUAAACAUUUCUCAUUAAACUGUGAGAGUGAGAAUUAAGGGUAAUGACUGUUCUGUGAUGUAAUUAAAAACAGCCCAUUUACUCUUUAAUUUCUUAUGGGCCAAAGGAUCCAUGCUUGAUCUGACAUUGGAUUUGAAUUUAUAGAUGUUUCCUAAUGCAUAAAAAUGGCUCUUUGCAUUUGAAACAUGCUUACUACACAUACAAUAAAAGCUUUGUUUAUUGAUUAUAUUGGUAUUAUUAUUUUAAAGAGACCUGAAGAUUAAACCAUUGUUUUUUUUUCCGCUUUACUCUAUUUGUGAUGUAAUGCAUAAUUUAUUUGUGAUUACAGCCUUUAGAUCUUUAGCAAUUUUGCUUCAGGACUCUUUUUGCUAAAGCAAAAAAUCUACAGUAAUUACAAUGCACUUUAUUUGAAAAAUUAACAUUAAAGGCAUGACACACUGAAAAGGAAAUUAACAGUCUUGUAAAUGCAACCAAAAACGUGCAGAAGUGUGAUUUACUAUGCAGGCUAAAAUAUAGAGAAAAUGACCCAAUUAUUUUGCUAAUAGAGCAUUUAUUAUAUUAUUUCCAUUGAGUGACAGAGUGUGAUACAAAAAAGUUUGACAGGAUGCAUACUGUAGCCUUU